rnacentral:lncRNA from 1 species
UUUUAUAAUAGGGUAAAAUUUUCAGUCAAUACUCAAAUUAUGAUGCUUAUGCAGGAAGUUGCUUAUGCAGGAAGUAAGCUGACCUGCAUAAGGUCUCUCAUAUAUGUAUGUGUGUAUGUAUAUGUAUACGUAUAUGUAUAUGUAUAUGUAUAUGUAUAUGUAUAUGUAUAUGUAUAUGUAUAUGUAUAUGUACACACCAAAAUGUUACCAGUGAUUAUCGCUGGAUGGUUGGGUUACAUACAAUUUUUGUUUUAUUUUUAAUAUUUAUCCUGCAGUUUCCAAAUUUUUAACACAAAUUAUUAUUUCCAUUACUUUAACCAAUUAAUACAGUACAUAUUAUAAAAGCUAUCAAGGUAGUAAAUAUGGGCCGUUGCCCAGCCUCCCACCAAUGACCUCCUCCUUCAGAAAAUGUAUGCUUGAAAACCUUGGUUUUCUGCUUGCCUAAGAAAGCUCCCAGGAAGCUUCUGACACCAGCUUUUUAAACUGUGCAGUGCCCCUCAAUUGUAAUAUUGUGAUCUAGUCACAUCCCACAUGCAUUACUCCUACUUGCUCAUUUUAUGAAUGAAAACACAGAUGAUGGGCUCACUGGCAAAGUCACACAGGUGCAUCAUCUCAGGUAGAAUUUACAUUUGUGUCAGUUAAUUGUCAAGCUUGUUUAUUCAAGAGUCGAAUUUUGCAGAUUCCAUUUCUCUUCAGAGUGGAGAUCCCCACCGAUGGAAUAUGAAGUCUGCAAAAUUUUUCACUUUAUCCUAGAAACCACUGGGUUCAGGAUAAAUCCAGAUAGGCAGCAUCCUACCCACCCAUAUGUAUAAGGAGCAGUUCAAACUAAAUUUUUAGAGUCUCUUCCGAUAGCAUCCCGUUGCCCACUCAAUGAUUUUCAGACCUCUUACCCUGAAAUUUUCGAUUCUCUAUAUAUGCACUGUCCUCAAGACCAUGGCUGGCUAUAUUGAUUUCUAUUUCCAGAUGAUUUUCUUUUUACCCAUUUUUACUUACAAUAAUAUAAACAUAUACACUGUUUUUCAGUUUUCAUGCAUUUUUAUGCUGCUGCCACUGCUUAAAAUUCCCUGCCCCAUAUGGAUUAUGUCCACCCAUCAAAUACCAUGGCUUGCUUUUACCUGCAUCUACAUCAGACCCAACUAGCCUAAUCUAACUUCUGGUUCUGCUGGAAUCCUAUCAAAACUGCCAACAUUUUUUCUAAACUUCUCAAGUUUUAAAAUAUAUUUCCUCAUUUUCUGUGAAAGCAAUGCCUGCAUAAUAAUGCUGAUAUUAUCCUAAUAAAAACUUAAACAUCUGCAUGUAAAUUAUGCUACACCAUCAACAGGAUUCCAAGACAGAAAGCAGGAUUUGAGAAGGGAAAAUGGGCAAGUAAAUUCUCAUAUCUAUUUAAUUACAGAGCACUCAUGUAAAAUUUCCUUUGGCUGCCUCCAUCAACAUAGCAAUGACUUGCAUACCACUUUGACAGGGCAAUUUCAUCUACUUGGCAAAGUAAAAGGGAAAAUAAAAUAUCAUCUAUCCCUUUGAUUUGAUUCAUUUCUUCUUUCAUUUUUAGCUUAUUAGUUUGUAUGCAUUUCUAAGAGCCACCAAAAUAUAAUGACAUAAAAACAAAAGAAAAAUCAGAGAAAGGCAGGUUGUGGCCAGUUGAUGAGUGACUUUUAGGUCAAGCUAUGAAGUUUGAAAAUAACCUAUAGGCAAAGGGGAUCCUCAUGGGUAUUUCAGGGGACUAGCUUGAUCAGAUUUGUUUCUCAGGAAGAUGUACUAGUAUUGAUGGAGAAAUGAGGUAUGGGGACCUACGGCGAUGAUCAGGCAAACAGUGACUUAAGGUGUAGGAAAUUUGGAAGAAGGGGUAGGGAUAAACAGUAGAGAUCACACUAUAAAUGGUUCUGAAAAGCAGCAUGAUGAUUCUUUGACUCUAGGGAGUGUUGUUCUAUGUGUGUGGUAGAAAACUGGCUUUUAAAGAAUAUUUUUGAAAACAAACAUUAGAAUUUUUAAUGUUGUAUGUCUAUUAUCACCUAUAGAAAAAAAAGCAGUAGAUGCAAACCACAGCUAGCUCAAUUCUAAUGCCAAAAAAGAAAGUGAGCACUGCAAAUUGUUCCCGUCUCUAAUCUGCCCAUCUGUGAGUUUGAAAUGACAAAAAGUGAAAAAGAAGUCUCCUCUAGACAGAAUAAUUUCAUAAAGAAUGAUUUCCUAAUAGAAACAAUAUAAUACAUAAAAAGAGGAAGCUAUAAAAAGCAGAGGGUUAAGUAUCCAGUAAGUCCAAAUGCCAAAUGUUGAGUUGCUAAAAUAGAUGAGGGUUACUGGAGUUUUUCCUGAAAUGAAGCUUUUAGACUGCUUGUCAAUUCAUCCAACAGCAGUUUAUCACAACAUAGGCUGACAGAUCACACCAUAUUUUAAUAUUAACUCAUCCACAGCUCCAAACUCAGGUGCUUCAAGAAGUCUAAAGUCCAGGGAUGCUGUAAACAGGUUUAGCUGCCCAGGUUUUCUCAGCCUUGAAGAUUAACUCCCAUGCCCUUGAUUCAUUCUCAUGACGUGCAGAGGAGAGGAGUGUUGGUGUCUUAGUAAGUCCCUUUCUGCGCACGUAAGAUGAUAAUCGUCAAAAAAAAUGGAAAGCUGGGCACUUUAAUUUUCUACCAUCUGUAAUCAUAUGCAAACUGUGAUAAAGCCAAAAAUGAAGUCAAGGUGCUAGGGCUUCUAACAUGUUAUUUAUUGUGUCACUUUUUUUUUUUUUUUUUUUUUUUGGAAUAUAGAUCUGGAGAAAAUAAGCUGUUUGCAACACGGUAAUUCAGUUAUAUGAUGCACUCAUUCAAAAUCCCAUUUUAAGUGACAGGUCAUCAUUAUAGAGGAACCACAUGAUUUGGAUAGGGGCUGGCACAGAUUCUAGCGAACAGCCGUACUCCUUUAUUUGGGUGGUUACAUCAUAAAUCCGAGUGGACCAAAGUGAAGAUGAACCAUUUUUUAAGAGUAGAAACCCCAUGCUCACUCAGAGUAGAGGGCCGCGCAGGCAAGCUAACAGCUUCUGUAGACCUUGGAUGGGGCUGCCAAGUUUCCACUAGGUGGGAAUUUCUGAUGCAAUAAAUGACACACCUAAAACAAUAACUGAAUCUAAAACACUACCACCCUAAAAAUGCCUUUAAAACAUGAAAUUUCUGUAGGAUAAUAAAUCAUACAGGAACAAAGUUAAAAUUCAAGCUUAUAUGUGUUAGCAAAAUUAGGUACGAUAUAGUCCAAUUUAAAUGUUUAUCUAAUAAUGAAUAAGCCUAAUAUAUUGGGUUACAUGCAUACAUUUAAAAUGUGAGAACUACUCUAGGCUCCAACUAGAGCUAGAAAAUUACCUGCUUCUAUGUUAUAGUGACUGCAGUUUUUAAGGAAGAAAUUCUAAACACCUCAUUUCUCAGCAAACCAACAAGAUGUAGUGGAAUAAACACAAGCUUCAGAGGCAGAUGUGGCUUCAAACUCCACCUCUACUACCUAGCGACAAUAUGACUUCACUGGUUGUAAAUGUUGGAUAACUAUAUUGGCUUCAUUGGUUAAAGUAAAGGUAACAAGUAGAAAACACCUCAUAGAAUUCAUGUUAAUUUCCAUCUCCCUUCAUCCAUUUUUUUCCCUGGUUUGAAAUCAAGCAAAGCUCUUUCAGCCUCCAAAGGGAUCAAUUAUGGCAGUGGUUGGUCCCAAGCAAGUCUGUGUGUUAAGAGGCAUCCCACGUGGUUUCUUGUUCAUUUCAUUUAGGGUGCCUUCACUGCAGCUUCCUUCCAUUUUCUGACUCCUUAAAGAUGAAUUUGUGUUUCUGCCUGGAAUACAAAUUGCUUGAGUUGCACUUAUGUCUGGUCCUGACAGCUAAGAUAAAAGUUUCAUGGAGAAGUGGAUUGUGCCCAGGCAACAGCAAAGAAAAUGCAACCUCUCGAAUUGGCUUAAUUGUACUAUUUUCAAAAAACUGUUGAAACUAUUACCUCCUCUGUUUCAGUUUUUAAAGCUUUUGGUUAAAAAAAAAAACCUCUUGUUAGUCCCAUAAUUUGUACUUGCACAGAAGAGAUCUAAAUGUAUUUCCUGAGUAUAUUUUAUAAAAAUAUCAGGGACGACAGAAAUAUCAAGGUUGGGCUCUCUAAGAGAAAAACAAAGUUCUCACUUCCAUAGUUUUCAUUCCUAUAUGAUACUAAAGUGUUCUGCCUGGUUUUAAAGAAUUAAAACACCAACAUUCAUGCAAGUAGCACAAAGAAGGGGUAUCCCCCUGCUCAGUUCCUCCUGCAACAAAUUCUCAACAUCCAGGGCAUCCAGAAGAUGGCAGAAAUUCAGUCUAGAAGCUCUUUCCUCAAGUGUUCAUCAAGGGCCCUUCAACCCAACACUGCUUAGACUUCCACUUUUGCAAAAGGAAGGGCACAGAGUGAGCUUAUCCUAGCCUCAGCUGAAUCUAUAAAAGGUGUUCCAUGCUGCCUAGUUAAUUAUUCUGGUAUCUUGAUUAUGCAGGAAUAAAGCACAGGGAAAAUUUUCUCAUUUUCUUGGUUACAAAAUAUUAACGAUGAGAUUAAACAAUGGAUUAACAGACUCUGUUAGAUAUGAUGCUGAGAUGAAGUGUUCACACACUGGGAGUAUUUGUCCUCUGCUUCCAAGAAGGUUUCUUCCUCCCUGCUUGUGUGCCAACAUCUCACACCAGGCCAGACCUCCAUGUGUACAUUUUUCUUGUUUGAGCCCAACCAAUGGCUUUGGUACUGAAUUAUUCAG